UCCCGUGUAGCUCAAUGGACAGAGCAUCGAGAAAUGGCCGAACCCGGUCAAGUAUCGAAGGUUGUCGGUUCGAAUCCGGCCACGGGAGC
rnacentral:tRNA from 1 species